CUUUACAUAAUCCUGUGGUGAGCAGACACAGAAGAGAAUGGGAAAGGUUAUUCAGCAACUUGCUAGCUUUCAUAGAUCAGGUUUUAUUUAUUAUAGCUGGCCUUAACCUGACAGAUUUCAUUGCCCUCUUGAGUACCUGAACGCUGUAUAACACGUGAAAUAUGAGAGCUACUGUAAAUUAAAAAACUACUCAGUAAACUUAUGUGCCCAGCGGGGCAUGGUAGGCAAGAUCUCCCAAAGAGCAGGCAACAAGGCUGGCAGACUUGUCGCUCAGGGGCCUGGGCGGGAACAACAACUAGAGAGGGGAGGUACAGCCUCUGCAGGCUCUUUAAUUGGUAAAAGAAAAUAUUGGCUGUAUUUAUGUAGCCCUCUGCUGGCCAGGGUGUAACCACAGCAGACUUUUCUGUAUUAUUCAAGAACAAAGGGAAAGAUCUGCAAACAUCUUUGACUGUAAAUAUCUUAAUAUUAAACAAAUCUCCUUGAGUUUUGCACAUUUCACAAGAUCUUUGGCUGCUGUAUAGACAAAACUUACCACACUCUGCCAAACUAAAUAUAGUUUAAGAUAUCAACAAACAAUUAGAAGUCUAAUUUAUAUGAAAUCCCAGGGGCCACCCCAAAACUGGGUUGAAACAGCUCCAGCCUACCCAACAUGCCUUCCACUUGGAAGCCUCUCUGAGCCAUAACUCCUUCUUUUGAAUUCCUUCCACUCUUCAGCAAACCAUUCCUGAGUGCCUAGUAUGUGCCAGGCUGUGUACCAAGUGCUGAGGUGCAGUGAUAAGCUCACAGACUGGUCAGGGAGACAGACACAGGCGGUACAGUCCUCCAGUUCGGUAAUUAAUGAUUUUCUUAUCUGUCUUCUACUAGCAUGCAUGUGAGGCAGGGAAGGGCCCACCAUACAGGCAUCUUUGAGACUUCAUUUCUUCCCGUUCUCCCCCUUAAAUUCUCAAGCAUCUAACAAGCACCUGGCAUGUUGUGGGGUUCUCGAUAAACAUUUAUUAGAAUUUAGGACAAUCAAAGAAUGAAAAAGGUAAUGUUUUAUUUCUCAGCAGUGCAUAUAACUGUAUUUAGCUUUACAAAUAUGUAAUUAUAGAGCCAUAAUAAUUGUAAGACAGGAGAAAAGCAAAUUGGUGCAAGUCGACCACGUACUUCAGAAUCCCCUGGAGGAGGAUUCUGGAGUAAUGUGCUGUAUUAGUCUGCUUGAGCUGCAGUAACAAGAUACCACAGGCUGAGGGGCUGAAACAGCAGAACUUUAUUUCUCACAGUUCUGGAGGCUGGGAAGUCCAAGACUAGGGUGCCAGCAUGACUGGGCCUUGGUGAGAGCACUCUUCCUGGCUUGCGGACAACUGCCUUCUUGCAGCCUCUUCUUAUAAGGCCAUAGUCCUAUCAGAUUAGGGCCUAUCAGAUAUCUGUAUGACCUCAUAUAACCUUAAUUCCCUCCUAAUCGUACAAAGGUACAAUGAAGGUGCCCUGUAAGGGGGCCCAUGUGAAGAGGAACUGAGGCCCUCAGCUUAGCCGGCAUCGACUUGCCGGCCAUGCGAGUGAGCCACCUUGGAAGUGGAUCUUCCUGCCCAAAGCAAGCCUCCAGCCAACGUGUGACAACAACUGCUAGAGAAGCUGAGUCAGAACUGUCCACUGGAGACCUUCCCAAAUUUCCAACCAGCAGAAGCUCUGAAGGAGAGUAAAUGAUCAUUGCUAGAAGCCACUAAGUCUUGAGACUCAUCAGCUCUAUUCAGUCUAACAGGGACAAGGAAAAUGGAAAAGAGGCUGAGGGUGACAUUUUUACCUCGGGUGUCUGAGAAGAUGGUGAAAAAAACAAAUGCAGGAAAAGAAAUAUCUAAGAAAAAAUUUAACGAAUUAUGCUUCAGUGUUUGUGUGAAUCAAUGCAACAAAUACUUAUUGGACACCUACUCAUGCUGGGCUCUUCUGGAGAAACAAAGAUAAGAUUCGAUUCCUGCUGCCUGACGAGCCUUCAGCUGAAUAAUGGAGAUGCAUUUUUAUACCACAUUCCAGCUCAGACUUGGGGAAUAAAAAGGAGCUAGCCAAGAGAAGAGCACUCCGGGAAGAGGAAGCAGCCUCUUUGUUGUAAAGGGACCAUAACAAGAAAGAACUUGGCUUUUCCAGUAUUUUAAAGAAGCAGUGGUGAGCAAAGGGUGGAGUGGCUGACUCAAGCUUGGAAAGAGGAAAAAGACUGGCCUCUGGUUGACCCAGAAGAGAGAGGAGGAGUUGUAAUUGGUUGUUAUCACUGUGAACCGUGGGAGCAAAUUAGAGACCAGACUGCAGUUCCAGAGCGGGACCUUCUGUCCAACUCUCCUAAGACAAGAUGAGGGAAGUCUUCAGUUAUGUUGAGAAAUGAAUGCGGGUAAUAUCUGUUUAUUACUUAACGUUUUUAUCUCAAGUAGGAAAUAAAAGGGAACUUAGUUAAAGUUCGGUGUUUCUCUCAGUGUUCUGACCCUUUCACUCACUAUCUUCUAAAAACAACAUAUGAAUAGAUUUGGAGUCUCUAGGGAAGGGGAUGGAUUUUCCCUAAAUGUUGUUAAAAACAGUUCCCUUAAACAAAGACCUAGUCACCGGCACUGCAGGCUCCCCACUUUCCACCUUGUCCCCCUCCAAUAAAUGGCUUUACAUUCCCAAGUCCCACGUGCUCCACAGGAGUCUGCUUAUCUGACCCUUGCCUGAACCACCAGUGUCUGCUCCUUCCCUCUCCCCCGAGUCUGCCUCCUCUCAGUUCCUAGACUGUGAUAAGCUCUUGCUCACCUCACCUCUUUUCCAUAAGCCUUUCUGUCCAUCACUCUGUAUCUUCGUAACACCUUUCAGAGAUCAGCUCAAACGUGGCUUCCUCAAACAAGCUUUUCCUGAUCCCUCUGACUGUAUCAAGUCCUUCAGUCAUACCAUUACACAGCACCCUGCACUUCUGUAUCAUAGCACCUUAUUUAGAGCUACAUAAUUUUAAAUCAAGAUUGGACUAGGUGUUUAAUGUCCACCUCCCAUGCUUUGUUAGGGCAGGGACCAUGUGGUCCUGUCCUCCAGUACCCAGCACUUGCCUUGUGUUUGGCAAACAUUCAAAAACUUGUUCAAUAUGCAUGGAUAAAUUGCAUUCUUAUUUGAAAAAGACUGACACGUAUACAUUCACUCCCUAAGUGUUACACAUUAAAACACCUACUCUGUGCCCAAAGUUGAGGUUCACAAGUUCUCAAGGGGCUUGCCCUCCGUUAGUUGGGUAAAACAUAAACACUGAAUAGGUAUCACCUCUAGUUUUGUCUCCAGCUCCUGGGACAGAGACAUUAAGAAAUAUUCUCACAAAAAUUAAUUACAUCUAAAUCAUUUGGAUGUGAUCGGCUGCAGGCAUUUGGGGAUAAUGCAAAUUGGAAUGUCUAGAAACAAAAGGUUAAAUAAAGAAAUGCCCUCUUUUACUCUUUUAUAAAUGUACACUAACUAUUCCACACUGUAUUUUAAGAGGUAAGCCACCAAGCUGUGUGUAUGUGUGGAAGAGUGCCAACAGUACAAUAGAGGGAGGGAGGGAGCCAAAACCACAGUGGUGAGUGUUCUUUCAUAGCUACUGUUUGGCCUAUGUUAUAGACAAAGUUCAAAAAACUUAAAAAAAAUGCCUGUAGCACCAAAGUGCAAUUAUGCCGCCAAUCCACCUCCAGUCCAGCUUCCUUGACAGCUUUUGAGCGCUUCAGUUUCCACUGGAGUUACGUGAGCCUUAGAAAUGGCUGCCACUUAUGCAUGGGGGCUUGGAUUUCAGUCUAAGCUUACUGAUAGUCUAGAAGUGCCUCACUCAUAGACAGUUUGACUUCUUUUGGUGGCCCAUCUUGAAUAUCCUUUUUAUUUGCUUUCGCCGUGUUUUCCAUUGAGUUGCUUUGCUAGUAAGAAAUAUACCUGUUUAAGAAAGAGACAUAGGAAAAGUAAAUAAAUUCUGUCUUUGCUUCCUUACUUGUGUUUACUAGAUAAAGCACUGCUGGGACUUAAUUUAAAACUGGCUCUUCCAUCAGAUUGCUUCCAUGUCCCCAGACCUAACGUCCACCACAAUGCUGGGACACCAUGAAUCAACUGGAUUCCUGAGUCUGUGUUUGGAAGAGUGCGCUGCAAACAACAGCACUUCAAUAAAUACCUUUUUAAAAAAAUUAAGACAAAACAAAAGCAUAAUUUUCUAUGAACACCAAAAAACUAGGAUCCAAAAGAAUUAGGUUUGAACAGGGUUAUAAAGAGCAAAUAAAAGCAUGUAUUAAAGGGUUUUUAAAUGGCUAA